rnacentral:misc_RNA from 1 species
CUAAAUCCAAGAGAAUUGGGUCGAAAGAUGCCUCUUCUCUACUGGCCUUUGGGCCUUUAACCUUUUGUGAACUGUUAAUUGACUCUGGUCAGAGGCGUAUGCGCUGGCCGGUUAUUUUAAACCUAGUCUUUAUUGUCUUAGCUUUAUUUUAAUAUAAA